rnacentral:misc_RNA from 1 species
UUGAAUGCUUUUAGAACUUUUUGUGUUAUCUCUCUUAAGAAAAAAAAUAAUUAUUCACUUUUUUAACUAUUGAAGAGUAAACCUCUACAUUUAUUUCUCUAUGAAAUGAAUAAUAGAUCUAUGUGAUUCUUGAAGGGAAAAUUUACUAUACAUUUCAAAGUGCUAAGCACAGGGCAUGUCUAAAAUGGAAGCAGACUUGGCAUAAAUCUGUUCAUUGAUUGUGUGUUAUUGAUAGGGUAGAUUCCUUUGUACUUUGUGAAUUACAUGUGUGUAUAAUUUCUGAUCUGUGUCUGUGUACCCCAGCUCAGCAUGAGUACCGUGUGUACGGCCUCAGGGUGGGGAUACACUCUCUGUGGUUCUGUGGUCCAUUACAGAGCGGUCGUGUACAGAGAUGGGUGGUGCAGCUGUGUGCCUAACUGUAAAUACUUGCAAUACGCCUCAUGUUUGUGAUGCAUUAUUUAUUCUAAAUAUAAGGGGGAUUCAUCCGAUUUUAUUCUUUUGUUGUAAUGGUCAAUACAAAGAUGUCAGAAUUUGAACAGAAAGUAUAGGAAUAAAUUCUAUUAAAUAUGAAAUUGAUGUAGCUUUUCUCACUUUAUUGUGUGUUUUAUCAUGUGAUAUAACGGCAGAAUAUUCUAAGCUUGUUUAUCAAUGGUCUUCUCUAAUGUUUCCUCAUAAACAAUAAAAUUGUUUACUUAUUGUU